UACGAAGGGGGCUAGCGUUGCUCGGAAUCACUGGGCGUACAGCGCACGUAGGCGGAUCUUUAAGUCAGGGGUGAAAUCCUGGAGCUCAACUCCAGAACUGCCUUUGAUACUGGGGAUCUCGAGUCCGGAAGAGGUGAGUGGAACUCCGAGUGUAGAGGUGAAAUUCGUAGAUAUUCGGAAGAACACCAGUGGCGAAGGCGGCUCACUGGUCCGGUACUGACGCUGAGGUGCGAAAGCGUGGGGAGCAAGCAGG
rnacentral:rRNA from 1 species